UGGGGAAUAUUGCACAAUGGGCGAAAGCCUGAUGCAGCAACGCCGCGUGAGUGAUGAAGGCCUUCGGGUCGUAAAACUCUGUCCUCAAGGAAGAUAAUGACGGUACUUGAGGAGGAAGCCCCGGCUAACUACGUGCCAGCAGCCGCGGUAAUACGUAGGGGGCUAGCGUUAUCCGGAUUUACUGGGCGUAAAGGGUGCGUAGGUGGUUUCUUAAGUCAGGAGUGAAAGGCUACGGCUUAACCGUAGUAAGCUCUUGAAACUGGGAAACUUGAGUGCAGGAGAGGAAAGUGGAAUUCCUAGUGUAGCGGUGAAAUGCGUAGAUAUUAGGAGGAACACCAGUAGCGAAGGCGGCUUUCUGGACUGUAACUGACACUGAGGCACGAAAGCGUGGGGAGCAAACA
rnacentral:rRNA from 1 species